UGUUCAGAAAAGAAGGCUCCUUUACAGUUAUUUUGCCAACGAGAAAGGGUUGUUGUCGAGCCCUGUGUUUUAUUCUGAAAGAGAACUGAAAAAAGAGGAGCCACAGCCGUUUGUAAAAAAUCAAGUGCGAAAAAAUUUGUUGUCAGAUUUGGAAAAAACAGAAUUAAAGGCAGAGGGGGGAAUGGAAGAAGAGCCUAUAUAUGAGGACAUGGCAACCGAGGAACAGCAGCAGGAUAGCGAUGUUGAAAACCAACCGAUAGACCCCGAGUUGUGGAAAGAUGGCGAUAUUGUUACGAUAACCAAGCCUGGGUCAUACAAGAUUACUGCUUUGGUGUGUAACAAACUGCCAACAGUUGCAGAGACAGAAACACCCGAGGAGGCUGCUGAAACUAUGAUUGACGGAGGUGAUUCAGAAACAAAGGACACAAACGGGGUGUCAAUGGUAAAACCCAAAGAACACGACAAGGGAAAAGCUAC